AAUUCACUGAAAGUGAUGAAGGAAUACAUUUAUGUGUAUUUCCACUAAUGAUGUUGCAGUUCAAGGCCAAUAUUGAAGGACACCACUUCACCUCUCAUUGCCGUUUGCUCCUUGUAGUGAUGGGGUGCAUCCAACUUGUCACAGCUUUGCUCUGAGGAGGUUCACACUGAGAAGAAAUGAAUGACAAUGAAUCAAUACCUACCUCGUUUUUGGUUUAAGGUAUGUGUAGGAAUGCUUUUUCCACUUCAUUUUUUUAAAAAAAUGUUGUUGAAACAUAUUAGAGUCCAUGUUGUAACAGUACAUAUGAUGUGAGUCAUCAACGGGUUUGUUCAGGGAAAAUAGGCUGCACUUGAAUGGAAGACUGCCAAUAAAUGCCAAGUGACAGUUGUAGACUGACCAAAGUAUCAGCUUGCUGAUGGCAAGUGGGCCUUCUUGAACAUUACACAAUAUUUUAAAAAUGUUAAUAAUAACUUUAUUGUUAUAGCCCGCCUCCAUCUCCCUGGAGGGACUCGGGGCGGCUUACAAUGGGACUAAGCCCAGAGGAAAAGGAAUUCAAAAUAUAAGAAUUAAGACACAAUACAAAAUUAAAACACACAACAGAGCAAUGUAGUUAAAAUCAUUGACC